UCGGGAAUUUUGGGCAAUGGGCGCAAGCCUGAUCCAGCCAUGCCGCGUGAGUGAUGAAGGCCCUAGGGUUGUAAAGCUCUUUCAACGGUGAAGAUAAUGACGGUAACCGUAGAAGAAGCCCCGGCUAACUUCGUGCCAGCAGCCGCGGUAAUACGAAGGGGGCUAGCGUUGUUCGGAAUUACUGGGCGUAAAGCGCACGUAGGCGGAUUGUUAAGUCAGAGGUGAAAUCCCGGAGCUCAACUUCGGAACUGCCUUUGAUACUGGCAAUCUAGAGUCCGGAAGAGGUUAGUGGAAUUCCCAGUGUAGAGGUGAAAUUCGUAGAUAUUGGGAAGAACACCAGUGGCGAAGGCGGCUAACUGGUCCGGUACUGACGCUGAGGUGCGAAAGCGUGGGGAGCAAACAGGAUUAGAUACCCAUGUAGUCCCUGAGCGGGCUGGCAAGGCGCAU
rnacentral:rRNA from 1 species